AGCUCAUGCCAGGUCCGUGUCUGGACUAGACCGGUUGAAAGGACUCUGAGGAGGGCGGGCGCAGAGAGGUCGGCCUCAGCUCCUCCCUCCAAUCUCUCCUCCUGCCCGAAGGACAUUUCUUUCUUUUUGUUUGGCUUGAAGGCCCUUGACUAUCAACCCCAGCUGAACCCAGAUGGGGGUGGGGUGAAUGAAGGGUGACGUGCCACUGAAGUCCUUGGUGCAGGAACGACAAAAGGUGACUGCCCUUUGGCUUGCAUAGCAGGACAAAGCUCUUGCCUUCACUUUAGGCCUGAAGGCUGACAGGACUCCCCUUGGACAGCAGCCACAGCUCCUACAUGGCGCCAGUGUAAGUAGAGUUCAGCUGGGUCCUCCACUCCGUAUCAGACGAGGCUCUCAACUGAAGAAAUCAAUUCAAUCCUCUGGACACUUACAGACACACGGAAGCUUGACUCGGGAACAAUCUGCUUCCAAGUCUCUGUAUAUUGUUGGCGGGAAUCACUGCCAUAUGGCUGUAGAGUACAUGGCAGCCUGUGCCUCCCGGAGCAGCCACAGCCAGCCUGCUGCUGCGGGCCCGCUGGCUUCUGGAAGAGAAGGGUCCAUCUUCCAUAGUUUUUUUUACCUGAUUACAUCAGGAACAUCCAGGAAAAUCCUUGGAUUGACUCAAACCUGCUAAUUUGUCGCUUGAAGCAACCUAAUUACAGGAGAAACAGCUUACCCCGUCCCCCACAUCGAGGGGAAGGGAUUACAUGGGAUGUCUACACCAGGGAGUGAGGAUUUUAGAGACCGUCUUCAUUGCUGCCACCACCAUCCUCAGGCUUUUAAACAGCCAUUGGGCCACCCUCUAAGCAACUAAAAUCCAAGCAACUAACAUCCAAAGAACUGAAUAUUGCUACUGAAAAUGUCAUGCAAAGAUACCACGCACUUCAUAAAAGUGGUACUCUGUUUCUCAUUCCCUGCUGAUGGGCGAGAGUACCCGAUCGUAUCCCUGAGACACCGUUGACACGUUCUGUGAUUUUCUGUGGCGAAUGCCCAAAGAGAGCCAGCCUCCCUGGAGCUAGAUGUUCCCUCCAGAAUCACCACCUCCGACAGCAAGAACCAGGAGAGGACACCAAAGAACCCCACCAGCCUGAUAGAGGUUCAUGAUGGAUGACAAGGACAUGAAAUAGAGCUUCAACAAUUAGUUGAUUUUCUUAUGUUUUCUUUUUCUUAUGUUUAUCAUAUAAGUGUUUACACAUAAACAGAUUAUUUCUUACAUUUUAUGGGAACUUAACUGCUAUUUGUUGAAUCAGCAUGACAGUCUCAGAGAGUCCCUGGCAACUUCAAUGAACUACUGUCCUCUACACUCUUUUAAAGGCAAACAUUAAAAAUUCAAGCCAUGAGAUAGUCCCCCUGCCCCAUAACACUUAGAAUAAAUCAAAAUCCCUUACCAAAAAAUUUUCCCUGAUGUGGCCUUUCUUCUAAUGAUCUUCUCAUUGCACUACCUGUUGUGCUUAAGAUUUUAUCUUCAUAAAUUUAGCUCAAUCUGUCCCUACACUAAUCUCUUUACACUUGCUCUUCCUCAAUCCUAGAACACAGUCAUUGGUUAUACUGGCAAAGAGAUGCAUAGCCAUAAAGUUAUAUUACAUUUAGAGAGUCUCAUGCAAUGAAACUAAAUAGUACUGUGAGUCAAAGUUACAUUUGGUCCAUCUUGAGUGACAAUCACACUAUAAAUAUUGAGAUUAUCACAAUGAAGCCUUUUAAAAAGUAUACCAAGAAGGUAACUUGAUAAUUCAGGGCUAAGAGAAGGCUGUAAUACAUACAGCUACUUUUCUGCUAGUUGACUUUGGUCAAAAUCAGAUUCAAUCAAAUGUUACAUGUCGAGUAACAUUUUUUUCCUGCCUUCUGCCAUCAUUUAGUUAAUGACAGAGGUUCACGUUCCUACUGAACGCACUCUAAGCCAGAAAUUAAAACAUUUAUCUUGAACCACUAAUAAAUAAAAAGAAUAUUAAUUCAUCAACCAAUUGUUGAUUAAUAAAUUGUUGUAUGCAGUUGGCCUCCAAUUGCCUACUGGAUCUCUAAACACAUUUUUUAAUCAUUGUUAUUUAACUAUCACAUUAAUCAUUGCUGCCGCUAACACAGAAAAAUGUUUUAAAUCAUGUAAGAAUUCUCUGGAUUAAGUGAAAGAAAGUGGGAAAUGAUGAUGUGAUCAGAUUACAUUGGAUAAAGUUGAGAAAAUAUGGUUAGAAAGAAAUUGAGUAAGUUGAUUGAGCAAAACAGAGCAUUUAAUGAAAGUUGGUGAGAGCAUGGGAGGAGGUGAUAUGGAUGUAAUUGACAGACUUUAGUUGAACUGGAAAUAAUUGGGUGUGACAUAAUUUCUUUUUCUUUCUUGUCUCAUUCCUCUUUUUGACAAGUCUGCCAGGUUUUACUGUCAGAGAUAGUUAAUGGAUAUAAUUGACAUAGAUAAAGAGCAGGUGUAGGAGAAAAAGGUUUAAGGAGUUGAGUAUCAAUAAUCUGUUUGCAAUAUAAAGGAAAAUGUAUAGUACAAAACAGAUGGCCAAUUCUUAACAAACUCUGUGAAAGACAAAAAGGAAAUCCAUUGUUACCAAAACAUGCCAAGUCUGUGACAUAUAGUUAUAAUUAUUGGGCAACCUUUGGUCUCU